rnacentral:lncRNA from 1 species
CAAUGGAGUUUUGCCUCUGUCUUUGGAGAUAAUUGGAUUACUUCUAAUUAUCUCCAGGAUAGAAGACUCUGUGGAACUGGUUUUGGGCAGAAAAGCCAUGCUUCCUGUAGUCACAAAGGACUACGAUCUAUCUUUUGAACCACUGGACCAAUUUGUAUGAUUUUGACGUAUGUUUGUAUUUGGAGUAUGCUGAUUCUGAAAAUGUAAAUGUGAUGCAUACUUUUCAAGUUAUGAAUAAUGUGGAAAAAUUGUAUUUCUCUGCUUGUGCUUAAUUACAUUACCCAUUGUGUAAGGUAAUUGAAUCACAUGCAGAGGGGAGGAAUUUGUGUGGGAGUGUCUGAGUGUAUUGUAUGUGUUUAUUG